GUGGGGAAUUUUGGACAAUGGGGGCAACCCUGAUCCAGCCAUGCCGCGUGCGGGAAGAAGGCCUUCGGGUUGUAAACCGCUUUUGUCAGGGAAGAAAUCCUUUGGGUUAAUACCUCGGAGGGAUGACGGUACCUGAAGAAUAAGCACCGGCUAACUACGUGCCAGCAGCCGCGGUAAUACGUAGGGUGCGAGCGUUAAUCGGAAUUACUGGGCGUAAAGCGUGCGCAGGCGGUUUUGUAAGAUCGAUGUGAAAUCCCCAGGAUCAACCUGGGAACUGCAUUGGUGACUGCCAGGCUGGAGUGCGGCAGAGGGGGAUGGAAUUCCGCGUGAAGCAGUGAAAUGCGUAGAUAUGCGGAGGAACACCGAUGGCGAAGGCAAUCCCCUGGGCCUGCACUGACGCUCAUGCACGAAAGCGUGGGGAGCAAACAGGAUUAGAUACCCUGGUAGUCC
rnacentral:rRNA from 1 species